UCACAUGUUUUGAUUUGCUUCUACAACAAU
rnacentral:sRNA from 1 species